CGCCGGGGCCGCGCCGCCCAUUGGCCCGCGCCCCUGUCGCUCCGCUUUCGGGGCCCGCCGCCGCGGCCCCGCCCCCGCGGGAGGCCGGUUUGCGGGACUGGUGCAAAAGGUAGUUAGGCGGGGGAUGCCUCUCCUCGCGUGCAGCGCCCGCCCCGGCUCGGCCCAGUGUGGCGGGCUGUACUGCUUCCCCCCACCUCCCCGCCCGCUGCUCUCCGCCAGUCUCGCAGCGAAGCGGGCUGGCGGGGGCGGGGAGGGCUGAGCCUCCCUCCCUCCCCCCACCGCAAGGCUUUCGCUUCGUGUGCACGCCGCGCUGGCUGAGUGCAGCGGAGCGGGGCCCCACGCGUGACAGCCCUGCCCCGCCCCGCCGCUCGCGCGUGGGGGAGGGGCGCGUUCUAACCGCCAACGCGCGCAGCAUCCCGGGGGGGCGGGGCACGGCUCAGGGUCGGGGGCACCAUCCUGCCCCCUCCCUGGGGGUCUGGGGGCAGCAGCCUUUGCUCCCAGGUGGCUCCUGUGGUGACACCCCCACCGUGUCUCUGCGGGGCAGAGCAGCGCAAGCUUCCCUCUGCGGGGGUCCUAGGGGCCGUGGCUGGGUUUGCCCUGUGGAGCCUGUUGGCCCGCCCCCCCGGGGGUCCCAGCCCUCCUGCCUUUGAAUCGCUGCUGGAAAGCUAAACCCUUCCCCAGGGAGGAAGAAGGAACUGGAGGAAAGCGUUCCCUGUUCACCCAGCGGCAACUCUUCUAACCCACCAAGAAGACUGUUUGAGAUCCUCAGCCAGAAGGAGCAAACAACCAAGCCCCAUCAGGGAAGCCCUUGAGAGAAAGACAGGAUGCUUGAGAGAAGGUCUUGAAAAGGAAGACACCCACCAGAUAUUGGACAGAUACGCAGGAAGAAAAUAAACUGAGAGGUCUGAGAAACAACAGCUGGGGCAGCUUUUCCUGACAGAGACUGCUUGGGCUUCGGGACAGGACUUUGCUUGUUGUAUUGCUGUGGCCCAAUAAAGGUUGUUUUGUCUUAAGAAGAGCUGACUGCUUUCCUGCUUGUGACUUUGGAUGAACUCUGUCCCCUGAAAGAGAAGUGCCUCUCACUGAACUAGAAGGUAAUCUCUGGUUAUCUAACCAGGGAUGUUAUCUCAAGGAAUCUAUACAAGCUACAGGUCCCAAGUCAGCGCUCCCUGGAGAAUCCAUGACAAAUGGAAAAACACCCUAUGACUUUGUUGGGAUUGCAAUUUCCUCUUUCAUGAAGAGUUCAAGAGUAAAGCUUUAUAUACUUUUGUUAACUUUGCAAAUCAGCUGGAAAUGUUGGAACACUUCUUCUUCAUGAGUGCCAAAUAUUUAGCACAUGAUCCUGAAAGCUGCUGAACACCCACAACUCCUACUGAUGUCACCUUACCCUGAAGCUUAAGUAGACUUACCAGCUACUGAAGGGAGCAGCAGGGGGCCACAUUACUCAAGAUCAAGCCAACAGAUUUAAUGGAAGUUUUUAUGCCACAGUGGGUCAGUGUGCCUAGGGAUUCAUUAUUCUUUACAUGGAGGCUUUUA